UACGGAGGGUGCAAGCGUUAAUCGGAAUUACUGGGCGUAAAGCGCGCGUAGGUGGCUUGAUAAGUCGGUUGUGAAAGCCACGGGCUCAACCAGGGAACGGCCUCCGGUACUGUCAGGCUAGAGUGCAGGAGAGGAAGGUAGAAUUCCCGGUGUAGCGGUGAAAUGCGUAGAGACCGGGAGGAAUACCAGUGGCGAAGGCGGCCUUCUGGACUGACACUAACACUGAGGUGCGAAAGCGUGGGUAGCAAACAGG
rnacentral:misc_RNA from 1 species